AGAGUUUGAUCCUGGCUCAGAACGAACGCUGGCGGCAGGCCUAACACAUGCAAGUCGAACGCACCGCAAGGUGAGUGGCGCACGGGUGAGUAACACGUGGGAAUGUACCCUUUGGUUCGGAAUAACGUUUGGAAACGAACGCUAAUACCGGAUGAGCCCUACGGGGGGAAGAUUUAUCGCCAAAGGAGCAGCCCGCGUCUGAUUAGCUAGUUGGUGGGGUAAAGGCCUACCAAGGCGACGAUCAGUAGCUGGUCUGAGAGGAUGAUCAGCCACACUGGGACUGAGACACGGCCCAGACUCCUACGGGAGGCAGCAGUGGGGAAUAUUGGACAAUGGGCGGAAGCCUGAUCCAGCCAUGCCGCGUGAGUGAUGAAGGCCUUCGGGUUGUAAAGCUCUUUCGCACACGACGAUGAUGACGGUAGUGUGAGAAGAAGCCCCGGCUAACUUCGUGCCAGCAGCCGCGGUAAUACGAAGGGGACUAGCGUUGUUCGGAAUUACUAGGCGUAAAGGGCGCGUAGGCGGCUUAUCAAGUCAGGCGUGAAAGCCCCGGGCUUAACCUGGGAACUGCGCUUGAGACUGGUAGGCUAGAGUACCGGAGAGGUAGGUGGAAUUCCCAGUGUAGAGGUGAAAUUCGUAGAUAUUGGGAAGAACACCAGUGGCGAAGGCGGCCUACUGGACGGUAACUGACGCUGAGGCGCGAAAGCGUGGGGAGCAAACAGGAUUAGAUACCCCUGGUAGUCCACGCUGUAAACGAUGUCGGCUAGACGUUGGGGCCCUUAGGGUUUCAGUGUCGCAGCUAACGCAUUAAGCCGACCGCCUGGGGAGUACGGCCGCAAGGUUGAAACUCAAAGGAAUUGACGGGGGCCCGCACAAGCGGUGGAGCAUGUGGUUUAAUUCGAAGCAACGCGCAGAACCUUACCAACCCUUGACAUGCCUUGACCGAUGCAGAGAUGCAUCUUUCCUUUCGGGGACAGGGACACAGGUGCUGCAUGGCCGUCGUCAGCUCGUGUCGUGAGAUGUUGGGUUAAGUCCCGCAACGAGCGCAACCCCCACUGUUAGUUGCCAUCAUUAAGUUGGGCACUCUAGCAGAACUGCCGGUGACAAGCCGGAGGAAGGCGGGGAUGACGUCAAGUCCUCAUGGCCCUUACGGGUUGGGCUACACACGUGCUACAAUGGUGGUGACAGUGGGCAGCGACCACGCGAGUGGAAGCGAAUCUCCAAAAGCCAUCUCAGUUCGGAUUGCACUCUGCAACUCGGGUGCAUGAAGUUGGAAUCGCUAGUAAUCGCGGAUCAGCACGCCGCGGUGAAUACGUUCCCGGGCCUUGUACACACCGCCCGUCACACCAUGGGAGUUGGCUUUACCUGAAGCCGGUGCGCUAACCGCAAGGAGGCAGCCGACCACGGUACGGUCAGCGACUGGGGUGAAGUCGUAACAAGGUAA
rnacentral:rRNA from 1 species